UUCCAGGCAGGUAAUCGGUCAGGUGGACUCUUACAAAGGCCACACCCCUCUUCAUGAUGCUAUAUCAACUCCCUCUUCCCCACUCAGCAUCAGUUCGCUGAUUUAAAUCAUCAGUGCAGGGAUCGUUUGCUCACAGAGGGGUAGAAGAAGCUGAACAGAGAACAUUUGCACACCUCAACACGAACUUUGACUGUCACAGGUCAGGAAUGGAGGGACGACUGAUCGCCUUGUUUGCUACACUGACCGUCUUUGUGGCGUCAGGCGUUCAGGGGCAGUCAGAGAUUCAGGCGGUGUCUCAUUUGGCAUUUUCCAAUGAUA